rnacentral:miRNA from 1 species
GGCCCCGGCCCCGGCCCUGGCCCUGGUCCCGGUCCCGGCCCCGGGCUGGGCCCCGGCCC